AUUGAACGCUGGCGGCAGGCUUAACACAUGCAAGUCGAGCGGGGUGAUGGUGCUUGCACUAUCACUUAGCGGCGGACGGGUGAGUAAUGCUUAGGAAUCUGCCUAUUAGUGGGGGACAACAUCUCGAAAGGGAUGUUAAUCCCGCAUACGUCCUACGGGAGAAAGCAGGGGAUCAUUUGUGACCUUGCGCUAAUAGAUGAGCCCAAGUCGGAUUAGCUCUUUGGUGGGGUAAAGGCCUACCAAGGCGACGAUCUGUAGCGGGUCUGAGAGGAUGAUCCGCCACACGGGGACUGAGACACGGCCCAGACUCCUACGGGAGGCAGCAGUUGGGAAUAUUGGACAAUGGGCGGAAGCAUGAUCCAGCCAUGCCGCGUGUGUGAAGAAGGCCUUAUGGUUGUAAAGCACUUUAAGCGAGGAGGAGGCUACUUUAGUUAAUACCUAGAGAUAGUGGACGUUACUCGCAGAAUAAGCACCGGCUAACUCUGUGCCAGCAGCCGCCGUAA
rnacentral:rRNA from 1 species